rfam:Gossypium raimondii Chr10_contig_1420, whole genome shotgun sequence.
UGUUUAAAAUUUAUCCAUUUAUGCAGUUAAAAACUGGCGUGUAAGAUGGAUUAACUAAAUAAUGACAUAUGAUGAGACAUAUGAUGUACCACAUGUACAUCAUGCUAAUAUAAAAGAUCAGUUUUUAACCGUAGGAAUAGAUGAAAUUUUCAAUA